rnacentral:rRNA from 1 species
AUGAGGUGCAAGCUCCACCCGUACGCGAACGCGCUCGGCGUCUGCGCGCCCUGCCUCCGCGACCGCCUCCUCGUGCUCGCCGCCGAGCGCGACCGGGCCGGGGCCGGGGCCAGCAGCGGCGCCGACUGCAGCAGCAGCAGCAGCCGGGGCAGCUCGCCCGCGCGCGGGCGCGCCGCGUCGCCCUUCGCCGCCGCCGCCGCCGCCCCGGCGCAGCAGCACCGGCGCUCUGACGCCUGCGCCUACACGUCGUCCCGCCACAGCCACAGCCACCGGCCCGAGCUCCUCUUCUUCAGCACGCCGCAGGUCGGCCCCGCCACCCGCGCCGCCGACGACGAGCCCCGGGAGAGCGAGCGGAAGAAGUCCUUCCACCGGAGGCGGUCCUUCCUGGCGGCGCUCUUCGGCGGAGGGCGGCGCGGCGGCCGGGAGGAGGAGAGCGAGAGCAAGAAGGACCCGCCCCGGCGGUCCACCUCGUGGCUGUCGGCCAUAGUCCGCCGCAAGCGGAGGCCGGACGCGUCAUCGUCGUCGUCGCUGCCGCGGCCGGUGGACGAGGAGCCCGAGUCCCCAGGAGGCAGCACGAGCAGCAGCUGGUGGUUCCCAUCGCCCUCCCCGGCCAGGCACCAUCACCACCCCCAGCGGCGCAGCAGGCCGGGCGGAUCAGGCGCCAGCGGCGACGGGAUCUCGGGGUUCGCGGUGUGCCUGAGCCCGCUUGUCCGCCCCAGCUCGGGCGGUCCUCGCCGGCGGUGCCAGCAGCCGGACCCGUCGACCCUGGGCGAGAGCCACCGGCGGCACCUGUCGGCCAGCAGCGCGGCGUCCUUCGGCCGCAACACCUCCCGGAAGCUGGCCGACAUGGGCAGGUUCCGGUGA